GCUCCUGUAGCUCAGUGGUUAGAGCGCGGUACUUAUAAGUUGAUACCUUAUGGUGACAGCAGAGUAUGCUGAGGCGCGAGUUCAUCUCGCCAGAGCA
rnacentral:tRNA from 1 species